CUUGAUAUGGAAGUAUCAGUUCUACCCCAUACAAUGCUUAAAUAUUGUGGCUAAAGGUGUAUGGAAUCCAACUUGUCCAAAUUAGGGACAUGAAUGUGUGAGUUGCCCUCCACCCUUUGCUGCUCUAACGGUCUCCGCUACCCAGAUACGUCUUUUCAUUAUACGUUGUGCCAUUGUAGCGGGAUUUGGAAGAAUUCGUAACAGCUGAUGGC